rnacentral:rRNA from 1 species
CUCGUAGGCGGCCAACUAAGUCAGACGUGAAAUCCCUCGGCUUAACCGGGGAACUGCGUCUGAUACUGGAUGGCUUGAAUCCGGGAGAGGGAUGCGGAAUUCCAGGUGUAGCGGUGAAAUGCGUAGAUAUCUGGAGGAACACCGGUGGCGAAGGCGGCAUCCUGGACCGGCAUCGACGCUGAGGAGCGAAAGCCAGGGGAGCAAAC